CUCUGGGCCAGGCUAGAUAAUUGAGUUUCUACAAUACACAAAGCUCAAUUAUCUGCUGGCCAGAAAUAAUACAGUUUUAACAGCAUAUUCAUAACUUCUAAAAUAUACAUUACAUAAAAAAUAUAUAUUUACAAUCAAUCCAUUCAGGGAAACAACAUAUCAAAAAAUGGCAUGAAUCAGACCAGGGGUUAAGAAGUUAGUAAAGUAUCCUUUGGGGCCUGGCUGGCAGCAUGGCUAUCUGGCCCAAACUGGUUUUACAGAGCCCUCUAGCCUGGAGACAAUGGGGAAAGUAAUCCAAUUAUCCAGGGAUAGAAGCAGACUCCAUUGAGCACAUGUUCCCAGUACAACACAAAAGGAUACAAAAAUACAUAACUCCUAUCCCUCUGAAUUGAACGGGCCAAAUCUCCCAGGGUCCAUAGUCACAGGGCAAGAGGCGGGCAAGCAGUCCUCUCCAGGCACAAGUGGCAAAGGGCACUUCGUCACACUUGGUCCACUGUAGUGACAGCAAAUCCGGAACAGAUCAUGAGGAAAAGGCUAAAAAAAAAUAAUAGUCAGUGUAUUAGAAGAGUGGCCAGGUAAAUAGAGUAUCAUCUCUGCAGGGUGACACUAUCCUGCACAGAAUUCGUCCAUCACAAGGAGAGGUGGGAUAUUGCAUGGAAAGUCUCAGGGAACCAGGGCACCAUUCGACACCAGAGCCAUAACUUGUUAGGGAAUAGUAAGAGCUUGGACAGGCUUCGGGGCCUGUAUAAUUCAGGUAAAGGUAUUGGGGGAACUAGCUAGGACCAUUGCCUCUUGGUCAGGUUUCACUGUGUGGAACAAAAGAAAUAAUAAGGUGAUAGGGGCCUGCAAGUGGGGGAAGGACAUCUGCACCUAGCAGAUUAAUUGGACAGGUGAAGGUAACCACAAAGCAAGGCUUAGUUAACAGGCUACUCCAAGGAGAGCCAUGUACACUUGUGCAGGAGACAACAAUUUUAGACAGGAAUGAGGAGUUAGGCAGGCCUUGCUUGGUACAAAUAGAUGUCAUGUGGCCUGCUAUACAAGGCUGCAUGUAGCCGUUGGGUAUGGGCCUUAUUAUGUACUAAAACCUAAGUUAAAAGAAAAUUUGGGACAACCUGAAGUGACACUUCUCCACAGAUGCUAACUCAUCGUUGAUGACAUUGUUAAUACAGGUAGCCUGAUCAGCCAAUUUAUCUUAGGCUUAAACAAGUCACACCAUGUAGUGGAAUGGGUCAUUAGGAUUCGGGCAAUUCUACAG